GAUGAACGCUGGCGGCGUGCCUAAUACAUGCAAGUCGAGCGAAUGGAUUAAGAGCUUGCUCUUAUGAAGUUAGCGGCGGACGGGUGAGUAACACGUGAGUGACCUGCCCAUAAGACUGGGAUAACUCCGGGAAAACGGGGCUAAUACCGGAUAACAUUUUGAACCGCAGGGUUCCAAAUUGAAAGGCGGCUUCGGCUGUUACUUAUGGUCGGACCCGCGUCGCAUUAGCUAGUUGGUGAGGUAACGGCUCACCAAGGCAACAAUGCGUAGCCGACCUGAGAGGGUGAUCGGCCACACUGGGACUGAGACACGGCCCAGACUCCUACGGGAGGCAGCAGUAGGGAAUCUUCCGCAAUGGACGAAAGUCUGACGGAGCAACGCCGCGUGAGUGAUGAAGGCUUUCGGGUCGUAAAACUCUGUUGUUAGGGAAGAACAAGUGCUAGUUGAAUAAGCUGGCACCUUGACGGUACCUAACCAGAAAGCCACGGCUAACUACGUGCCAGCCGCCGCGGUAA
rnacentral:rRNA from 1 species